rnacentral:rRNA from 1 species
CCAGCAGCUGCGGUAAUUCCGGCUCCAAUAGCGUAUACUAAAGUUGUUGCAGUUAAAAAGCUCGUAGUUGAAUUUCUGGUCGCGGCAGUCGGUCCGCUCCUCGCGGAGUGUGCACCUGGCUUCUGCAGCCAUCCUCGCGGAGAGCACGUCUGGCAUUAACUUGUCGGGCGUGGGAUCCGCGUCAUUUACUGUGAGCAAAAUAGAGUGUUCAAAGCAGGCUUAGGCCGUUGAAUACAUUAGCAUGGAAUAAUAAGAUAGGACCUUGGUCUAUUUUGUUGGUUUAUACUCCAAGGUAAUGAUUAAUAGGGAUAGUUGGGGGUAUUCGUAUUCAAUUGUCAGAGGUGAAAUUCUUGGAUUUAUGGAAGACGAACUACUGCGAAAGCAUUUACCAAGGAUGUUUUCAUUAAUCAAGAACGAAAGU